rnacentral:lncRNA from 1 species
AAGACGUGAUCAGUGAGGAGGGACAAGGAGGGAGAUGCAACGAAUUGGUUAGGAAGAACCAAUCGAGCAUGCUCUAUGUUCUGGAUGCAAAGAAUUCGGUUGGAAUCUUUUGUCUUCCGACAAGACGGCAUCACCACAGGAUUUGAGGACGAAUCCAUCCUAAGUGGGGGAGACUUGUCAUGUCCCCGAUCCUGGAUUGGAUCGUCC